UAUCAACAAAAUCUUACAAAAUGGCAUUCAAGGCAAAUAUUUUGCUUAUAUUUUCUUUGGUUCUUAUGAUUAUAUCAUCAGAGGUUAUUGCAAGGGAAAUGGUUGAGGCAAAUCAAGUUCAAAAUACAUUUGAAUUGGACAAUCCGACGCUCCAGAAAAAAGGUGGUGAUGGAAAAGGCGGGGAUCAUUAUUUCCUAAUAUAGCGCGUUUGGGUUGCAGUUGCCCAAAAAAAGAUAAUAAUAAUAACAAUAAUAAUAAUAAUAAUAAUAACAAUAACGAUGACGAUGAUGACAAUGACAGUUUCAUUGGUAAUGUUUGUAAAGCCAUGUGUUGUUAGAGAAACAAAAGAUAUAUCAUUUUCUUCCCAUCCGCUACUCAAUAUUAUAUGGUUAUGUAAUAAUAAUAAUAAUAAUAAUAUGAGAUUGGUUGAAUAAAGGAAAAGUUUGUAUUAUAUAUCGUUAUGUUAAUUUCACUUUUGUAAUAAUAAUAUGAGUGAUCUGAGUCAAA